GGUGGUAGGAUGGGAGUGAUGUGAUGACUGAUCUCCUACUUUUGGAGCACGCUUAGUAAUUUUGAUAUUGUUAGAUGAGAUUUUAUUGGUAGUUUACAAGCAUGAGACAGAUUAUAUUGGUGUGUGCAGUGUGAGCAAAUUGGAAAGUUUGUGGUUCAAGUGGGUUGUUAAGCUAGACUACUCAAGAUGGUUUUUUCUUUCAUAAUCUUAGAAAGUUUAAAUAUUAUGCUACAGCUAUAAUUGUCAUUAUUCUUUUAUCCAUGACUAGUUAUAAUUAAGCAUGCUC
rnacentral:lncRNA from 1 species